UGGGGAAUAUUGCACAAUGGGCGCAAGCCUGAUGCAGCCAUGCCGCGUGUAUGAAGAAGGCCUUCGGGUUGUAAAGUACUUUCAGUCGGGAGGAAGGUGGUAAGGUUAAUAACCUUAUCAAUUGACGUUACCCGCAGAAGAAGCACCGGCCAACUCCGUGCCAGCAGCCGCGGUAAUACGGAGGGUGCAAGCAUUAAUCGGAAUUACUGGGCGUAAAGCGCACGCAGGCGGUUUGUUAAGUCAGAUGUGAAAUCCCCGGGCUCAACCUGGGAACUGCAUCUGAUACUGGCAAGCUUGAGUCUCGUAGAGGGGGGUAGAAUUCCAGGUGUAGCGGUGAAAUGCGUAGAGAUCUGGAGGAAUACCGGUGGCGAAGGCGGCCCCCUGGACGAAGACUGACGCUCAGGUGCGAAAGCGUGGGGAGCAAACAGG
rnacentral:rRNA from 1 species